AUGGGCGCAAGCCUGAUCCAGCCAUGCCGCGUGAGUGAUGAAGGCCUUCGGGUUGUAAAGCUCUUUUGUCCGGGAAGAUAAUGACUGUACC
rnacentral:rRNA from 1 species